GAAACCCUAGCUUAUAUGUUUGUAUUUUGUAUUAUUUGCUCGUUUGUGUGUUCUUCGGAGUUCUUCUCUAAGUUCUAUGCUCUUUGUUUUAAUUUUGUUGCAAGCAUUUCAUUUUCCUACCAUUCUAUGUUCUUUGCUUAAGGUCUCUGGCGGUUUACAUGGUAAUUUUAUACUGAUUCUCACAAGUUCUCUUUAUGACUGUGAUUACUCGCCUUAAGUUGUGAUUUUGUGUAUUCUCCUAUAGGUUGGUACUGAUUUUGAAUUGAUUCCUUAAUUUUUGGGACACCUUCCUCAAUCAACACCGAUCCCUUAAGUUUUCAGUCUCGUUCAUUAUUUUGAAAACUAUUUUUUUUCGAAAUCAAAAUGGUAUUUUUCCCUAUAUGUGCGCACAAAUAUGUUGAUUGAUUUGCCUGACAUAUUUCAUAUAUUAAGUAUCAUGCACCUAGUCUUUAUUAUAUGCCUUAUACUAUUCUGUUUCCUUAUAUGAUCAUACCCUGCUUUGUGAUUCCUUUCCUUUUUGAAAUAACUGCUUAUUACCGUUCGACCUUGAUUCUUUAAUUAAUGGAGAGUCCAUAUGAUGACUUGAUUAUGAUUGAUACCCAGUUCCUUAAUUAUGGAUGGGUACCUUGUUUGUUACUUUUCUUCAGUACUAUAAGUACCCCCAUUCACUUUUGAGACACACGGACACAACUGACACACUGCAUAUCACAAACACACACACAUAGAAAUCACAUUGCUCUCCCUUGUACUAUUUAUCUACUUUUCUCUCUUGUGCUGUUGUUGCUCCCUACUCUUGACUAUUACUAGCCAGCGUAAAACCCGAGACUAAUAUUGUGCUCACACUUGGCUCUUGCAUUUUGCUGUGUUUUCUUUGUUGCUGGUAUGUCCUGAUUAAAUCUAUGUUCUAAACCAAUGUGAUUAUUGCUACUUCAGUAUGUUUUGUUCCUAAUUGUUUCUACUUGUGCUUCUGUUGUACAACAUGUGAUUAAUUCCUGGUCUGCAUUUUGAUACUUACAUUGUUCAUGACUACUGUUACCUGUUAUGGCUGCAUGUUGUUACUAUUUACUUUUGUGUCUCAACUUGUCUAUUUCAAG
rnacentral:lncRNA from 1 species